AUUGUCUCCGUUUUAUGGUUUAGGAAACUGAAGCUCAGAAUACAGGGCUGAUGCUAGGCCAUUUGGGGACCUUUGGGUGAGUUAGAGAAAGGGACCCUUCAAGACACUUUACAAACUAUUUGCUAAAAACUUAUUUCAAUGGAUAAACAAAUCUAUGGUGAUUACCAUUUGAGCAACACCCCUGAGUUGGCCCACCACCUGCGCAAUAGUACCUGCUGGUCUUGCUGGCGAGGUUAAGUAAUUUUUCAGACAUCCAAGGCCGGCAAGUGAAGGGGGUUGGGCUUAGAACCCGAGUCCUUGCUCUUCAGUCCACUGUGUUCUGAUGCCUCUCUGGUUCCCUCUCUUUAUGCACAGACGACAAUCUUAAUCAGACAGGAAGGAUGAGGCCGUGUAGAAAAGAACUGACUGAUGGCAAGGAGCCCUCCCGAAGCCUUUGCUUCAGCCUCUCCAUGUUCUGAGAGAGGAGGAGCCAGGUGGCGAUAUCACCUUAUGAAAAUGAUACUCUUCUGCGGACUGGAGGCCUCCGGUUAUUUCUGAGACCGUGUGUAUACAAAGAGACUUCUUUGUGAAUAUAUGGAGGGAAAGCCAUAUAUUAUCGUUUACAUAGCGAUCUGACUGAAACGUUCAAGGGGACUGGCAACUCCAGGAGGGAUGGGACUGUGUCUGUUGUCAUGCUUAUAGCCUAGCUUAUAGUUCAUGUAUUGGGCACUCAGUAAAUAAAUAAAGCUUUUGAACCAUUUAGAUUGUCACUGGAAGAACCAUUUCAAGAGUGUGGAAAAUCCUGGAACAUGCACAGGGGCCUAGGAUUUGGAGAAGUUGGGGGCUAUUGGUGAUCCUGAUGGAUUAUCAAUUGAGCAGAGACUCAGCUAGGCAGCAUUGGGAAGGUAGAAACAUCAAGAGUGAUCUGAGGCUCUUCUAAUUGCUUUGUGUUUCCUAAAUUUCUCUUGAUGAGGAAAAGAAUUUCUCCCUUUAUAAUCUAGGGGGUUGUAAACCAACAAAUUUGAAUUUUUUCCUUGCUUCUGUAUUGCUUCUAAUGAUGGCUCUGUCUUGGAAAGGAUCUCCAAAAAUAAUGUCCUCUUCUCUGCCUGUCAUUCAGUGGUAAAUUGUUUAUUCUGUAAUUUAUUUAUUGUUCAUUCAUUCAGUCCACAAAUAGUCACUGAACAACUCUGAUGUACAGAGCGCUCAUCUAGACUGUGCGACCAUCUCUGACCUUUUCCUAUCGUGGCUCCUUUGAGUUCAGUUAAUCACAAUCCUACCAGCCGUAGCAUCCACAUCCGUGCUCCUCUCUGUUUCUUCUGCUCUCACCCUAGCCCUGGCCUCCAUCUUCUUUCAUGUAG
rnacentral:lncRNA from 1 species